rnacentral:pre_miRNA from 2 species
AGUGAAAUUGCUGGGUUAUAUGGUAACUCUAUGUUUAACUUUUGGAGGAGCUGCCAGAUUGUUUUCCAAAGUGGCUGCACCAUUUUACAUUCACACCAGCACU